rnacentral:rRNA from 1 species
CCUACGGGGUGCUGCAGUGAGGAAUAUUGGUCAAUGGGCGGGAGCCUGAACCAGCCAAGCCGCGUGAGGGAAGAAGGUACAGCGUAUCGUAAACCUCUUUUGUCAGGGAACAAAGGCGGGGACUAGUCCCCGGAUGAGGGUCCCUGAAGAAAAAGCAUCGGCUAACUCCGUGCCAGCAGCCGCGGUAAUACGGAGGAUGCGAGCGUUAUCCGGAUGUAUUGGGUUAAAGGGGUGGGCAGGCGGCCUGUUAAGCUAGCGGUAAAACCCCGGGGCUCAACCCCGGCGAGCCGUUGAAACUGGGCGGCUGGAGUUGGAGAGAGGUACGCGGAAUGCGCGGUGUAGCGGUGAAAUGCUUAGAUAUCGCGCAGAACCCCGAUGGCGAAGGCAGCGUACCGGCUCCACACUGACGCUGAGGCACGAAAGCGUGGGUAUCGAACAGGAUUAGAUACCCCUGUAGUC